GCAGUAGUAGCGACGACGGCCAGUGAGCAGCAACCUAAGGUGCCGGCGUUAAGCGCGGAUGGCCAGAUCUGUGCGCGGAGGGCAUGGCCGAUGCUGGGAGGGAGGUCUUGCCGCCGCCCUCCAAGCAGUCGGUAGGCGCAAUGGAUCCUAAAGCUCCUGAAUGGAUCAAAAGGGGUGAGGAUUGGGGUGGAAGCCCCUGUUAGGACACCUUCUCCCAGUCAAGCAUGAGCCGGUGGCGGUGACGCUGCAUAUGUUAUCCAGGAUCCUGCUCAGGGGUUGUACCAUUGGCGACGAGAUCCAGAAGAUGGCCACGGCGGCAGUGGUGGCGGCGGUUGCCCCGGGUGGUGAUGUAGAGGGGAGGAACCAGUAGCAGGUGAGCACGAAGAUCUCUGAAAGUUUUUCUUCGGAAUAUAAUAACCAGGUUGCGUUUGUUUCGUGCACAUACAUAAAUGGAUCGCUCUUCUUCUUGGAGCCCCAGGUUGUGGCAAAACCCCCUAUUGCUAGCACUUGCAGGAAAGCUCAACCAAAACCAAGAGAUCAUGGAUGUUGUGGUGGCAGCGGCUACUCCUGGUGCGUGCUGAUCAGGACACAGCCCAACAUGGACGUGUAAAACACAUGCAAUCAGAUUAUCUCCAGGAAUUUGCAGCAGGUCUGAUCCCUUGCGCGUGCUCCUCCGCUUCUCCUCACCCUCUCGACCCUCCCCUUGCUCAUCGCCAUCCAUUUUAUUCCGAGUGUAGAUGGCGGGCAAAACACCUAAGCUCCAGAGCAAGGAUGAAAAGCACUCCAUACAUACCCACAAGGAUGAUGAUCCAUCUUUUUCUAGGAUGGUGGGACUUGAGGUAUGCACAGAAUCAAGGAUCAGCUACUUGAUGAAAUAUACAGGAGACUCUCCUACUCAACAUUACGUUAAAAAAAGAAUCAAGGAUCAGUUCAAUGGGAAUUGGAAUGAUGAAAACACUUGUUUGAGCACAUGUGAUCCUCAUAAUAACAUAUUUGUAAUAAA